rfam:Alligator mississippiensis ScZkoYb_124.1, whole genome shotgun sequence.
AGCACUAUUUUUAAACCUGUAGGUGGGGUUUCUUGCCACCAUGGGUUACGCUGUAGUGCAAAAAAAAUUCUUGGCUCUUUUGUGCACAGCUGAUCUUGUGCCAUUCAGCUGAUGCUGUUGAAAGCUAAGAAACAGAA